rnacentral:rRNA from 1 species
CUACGGGGGGCACCAGUGAGGAAUAUUGCGCAAUGAGCGAAAGCUAGACGCAGCAACGCCGCGUGAGCGAUGAAGGCCUUCGGGUCGUAAAGCUCUUUUCUGGGGGAAGAGGAAGGACGGUACCUCAGGAAUAAGUGUCGGCUAACUACGUGCCAGCAGCCGCGGUAAAACGUAGGACGCAAGCGUUAUCCGGAUUUACUGGGCGUAAAGCGCGUGCAGGCGGACCGUUAAGUCGUGCGUGAAAGCUCCCUGGCUCAACCGGGAGAGGUCGUACGAAACUGGCGGACUAGAGGACAGCAGAGGAGUGUGGAAUUCCGGGUGUAGUGGUGAAAUGCGUAGAUAUCCGGAGGGACACCAGUGGCGAAGGCGGCACUCUGGGCUGUACCUGACGCUAAGACGCGAAAGCAUGGGUAGCGAACGGGAUUAGAUACCCCGGUAGUC